CCUCUGCGCUAGGCCUAGUGGUAGGCGAUUAAAGGGAAGCUGAGGUCUGAGUCCUGGCUGACUCAUCAGGGCUGGAACCACCGCCACUAGAUGAAGCCACAAGCUCAACUGAGCUAUACAAAGUUAAGUUUUGAACCGACAAUGCGACGGUACUUGGUGUAGAGUAUUAACUACGGAAUCUAAGCUAGGUUGCUCUAAAUUAGACACUUGUUUAAGCAAACCACGGCCUGUGCAGAGGAGAAAGGGCAGGAAGACAAAGUCACGCCUUAGCUCUGGAUUGAAUCAUAAGCAGCGGAGCUCCCAAACCAGCCGCACUCUCCGAGGAUGUUCGCGUUUCCGGAGCAACCGCCAGGUCCCUCCCCCCCUUAGCUCCGCCCCCAGCAGUCUUUCCCGCCAAAGGCCGUUAAGCCGCAGAGCAUUGUGGGACAAGGCUCAAGGCUAGGUUUCACCCAAUGCUUUCAAGGCGAGGAUUUGUUUUAAGAGACUCAUUCCUGGAAGAAUCGACUAUCUCUUAAGACUCGUCAGGGAUUAGUAACCCCUUUAACGAGGAACCUGUGUUUAAUUUUUACCAAACGGCUGGUCACUUCACUUGCAAACCACUCCGCAAAUUGGGAACGCGAGGAACUUUUUUUCCCCCUUCUCGCGGAGGGUCACGUCGCGCAUGCGUGAGCGUACCCUUCGCAGCACCCGUUACGCUCUUGCGCGUGCGUACUGAGAUCGAAUAGCUGCUUCCUCCCGCUUCUCUACCUCCCUCCCCCCAUAUCCGUGCGCCGAGCUGAUAAAGGCGCCAUUUUGGAGGGGCCGCGGGAGACGUGGUGUCGCUGCGGGCUCGCUCUGCCGUGCGCUAGGCUUGGUGGGAAGGCCUGUUCUCGAGUCCGCGCUUUUCGUCGCCGCCAUGUCGGGAGGUGGUGUGAUUCGUGGCCCGGCAGGGAACAACGAUUGCCGUAUCUACGUGGGUAACUUACCUCCAGACAUCCGAACCAAGGACAUUGAGGACGUGUUCUACAAAUACGGUGCUAUCCGCGACAUCGAUCUCAAGAAUCGCCGCGGAGGACCGCCCUUCGCCUUCGUUGAGUUCGAGGACCCUCGAGACGCGGAAGACGCGGUAUACGGUCGCGACGGCUAUGAUUACGAUGGAUACCGUCUGCGGGUGGAGUUUCCUCGAAGCGGCCGUGGUACAGGCCGAGGCGGCGGCGGGGGUGGAGGUGGCGGGGCUCCCCGAGGCCGCUAUGGUCCCCCAUCCAGGCGUUCUGAAAACAGAGUGGUUGUCUCCGGACUGCCUCCAAGUGGAAGCUGGCAGGAUUUAAAGGAUCACAUGCGUGAAGCAGGUGAUGUAUGUUAUGCUGAUGUUUACCGAGAUGGCACUGGUGUCGUGGAGUUUGUACGGAAAGAAGAUAUGACCUAUGCAGUUCGAAAACUGGAUAACACUAAGUUUAGAUCUCAUGAGGGAGAAACUGCCUACAUCCGGGUUAAAGUUGAUGGGCCCAGAAGUCCAAGUUAUGGAAGAUCACGAUCUCGAAGCCGUAGUCGUAGCAGAAGCCGUAGCAGAAGCAACAGCAGGAGUCGCAGUUACUCCCCAAGGAGAAGCAGAGGAUCACCACGCUAUUCUCCCCGUCAUAGCAGAUCUCGCUCUCGUACAUAAGAUGAUUGGUGACACUUUUUGUAGAACCCAUGUUGUAUACAGUUUUCCUUUACUCAGUACAAUCUUUUCAUUUUUUAAUUCAAACUGUUUUGUUCAGAAUGGGCUAAAGUGUUGAAUUGCAUUCUUGUGUAAUAUCCCCUUGCUCCUAACAUCUACAUUCCCCUCAUGUCUGAUAAAUUGUAUUUUAAGUGAUGUCAUAGACAGGAUUGUUUAAAUUUAGUUAACUCUCCAUGCUCUUCAGACUGUGAUAUUGUGUAAAUGUCUAUUCUGCUCUGGUUUGUGUGAACUGGGAUGUUGGGGGUGUUUGUGGUUAUCUUACCUGGGGAAGUUCUUAUGUUUAUCUUGCUUUUCAUGUGUCUUUCUGUAGACAUAUCUGAAGAGAUGGAUUAAGAAUGCUUUGGAUUAAGGAUUGUGGAGCACAUUUCAAUCAUUUUAGGAUUGUCAAAAGGAGGAUUGAGGAGGAUCAGAUCAAUAAUGGAGGCAAUGGUAUGACUCCAAGUGCUAUUGUCACAGAUGAAAUUGGCAGUAUUGACCUUAUACUAAAAGGCAAGGGUUAAAAGUGAUUAUAUAUAUAUAUAUAUAUACAUCUACCUUAAAACACUUGCAAACAUCUUAUGCAGUUAUCUUUAGCUACAAUUGCUUUGCUCUUUAAACCUUGGCAAUUGUGGCAAAAUUACAUUGCCCAUUUUGUAACAAUUUAUUUUGCUCCCUUCCCCCCUUUUUUGUUUUAAUAGGGACUAAUGUGGGAAGAACUGGCUAAUUUGUCACAGUGCUUAGUUACAACUGUUAAUGUGUGACCUGCUGUUGGUGUACAUGUGGGUACAGGGUGUCUUUAAUUCCAACCAGAUAGAGUAUAAUAUCAAUACUGCUAAAUCUGCAUGUCCUCUGUGUGACUGAUAUAGCGUUGCUAUUUCAUUUUUUUAAGACAAAAUGAAAGCAGAAUAGAGAAUUCCAGUGUAUUGGUGUAGAUAAUCUAGUUGGGAAUACUUUUUAAGUCUCACCUUCCCCUUUAAUAUUCAUAAUUGACUCAUGUUUAAAACACUUUAAUUUACAAAUUAAAUUGCAGAUGGGAGCAUUAGGUUUAGUUUAGACUUAGGGUGGGUAGCAAUACCAGUAAACUUCUCAACUACAUAACUUUUUGCAACCACAAAACCUGUAAUACGCUGUACAGUAACAAGUGUUGGCAUUAUCAGUUGAACUGUAAAUAUAAAAUGCUUCUUCCAAUUAGUCUCUAUGAUGAUUAAGUUUCUAAAAUUUAUCUGAACACCAUUCAGAAACUUGUUUUGGGGAAUUUGAUAGUUAUUGAUGUACAUCUGUUAAACUGAUGACAGACAUAACUCAUCAUUCCCCAGAAACCUUUUUUGAUUACAGUAUCUAACAUUUUGCCUCCUCUUUUUUGGUUUUGCUGGUUAUAAAGGUUUGGAUUGGAGAGGGCUCACUGGAUCCCAAUCCUUGGAGCUGGAUCAUUGGAUUCAAAUCAUAAUGUGGAUAGGAUAGGGAGGAUGAAUUACAAGGAUUCAUGGAGCGGGAUCAGAUUACCAGGAACAUAGGAGUGGAUUCCUGCCCCAACCAAACCGCAUUCGUGUGGAUUUUUUUUUUUUUUAUUCAACUUAAUUGGCUAUUCCAAAGAUUUUUUUUUUCCUAUUUUUGACGAUUGGAGCCCUUAAGAUGCACGAUGGAAUUGUGUUUUGCAUUUUUUGGUAAAAGGAGCAAAGCGAGGACCUGGAGAUAAUACGCUGGAGCAAUCUCCUUGGAAGGAUUCAGCACGAGUAGAUGGCUGACCUGGUCCUUGAUGUGCUACCUGCUUCUGCUACUGAUCCAUACUGCAGAACUUCUCAUUCAUCCCCAAGGCUUCCAGCAGCAAUGUCCAAUAGGGAAUCAACUCUAAAAGGAACCAGACCAACGUUUCCAGCCCUUCAUUCUGGUGACUGAGGGAAGGAAACAGUGGGAGGGGUUAUACAUGUGUAGUGGAUGGAAGGGAAACACAGACUGUCAAAUUACUAUAUCUCUUUAGUUUCUUUUGCAAAUAGAAUUCUGCAACCGUAUUAUUUCUAUUGUGUAAGUAUAGGGGAAGUUCAAGAUGGUGACCUUGAUUAGAAUGUGUCUGGAGAGGAAUAAAUGGAGUGUAUGAGAUAAGAGACAGUUGGUUAUGAAAGAUGUUGAAGUCUUGAAAUAAUGUGACCAUCUGAGGAAUUUUUUAAAACCAUAGCUUAUAAAAAUAUCACUGAUACAGCCUGCCCCCUCAUUUCCCGCCACAGGAGACUACUUGGACUGGAGACACUUGUUUAAUAAUAGCUUGUCUCUGAUAUUCCCAGUAGCUACCUCCCUGUGAGGAAAGGAUAGCAAACGUUCAGGACAUCAUCAUACAAAGUUCCAGUAGCAGUGACACCUACGCGGAAGACUUGGAACUGCAAACAGAGGCUGGGGUCACCUCAGUGACAUCUGACGCCGUCCAACCACAAGUUCGAUUUUUGUUUUGUGGGGUGAGGGAGCAGACUGUACUAAAGGACUAAAAUGAUUUCUUGUCUAUA